rnacentral:lncRNA from 1 species
UUGGACUAAAGCCAAUCGGUACAGUAUCAUAUAUCCAUCUUUGAUUUAUAAUCUUCAAACUCCUUGACAUCGAGGGCUUUAGUAAAUGGGUCGGUCAGACUUUUUUUUUCAUCGAUCUUUUAAAGCUUGACGUCAUCUCGAUCUAUGAUUUUUUGAACUUGAUGGUAGCAGUGCAGAAUGUGCUUGGUGCAUUGAUAUGACUUUGAUUCUUUCGCUUGAGCAAUAGCGUCAGUAUUAUCAUGGUACAAUAAGAUAGGGCCAUCG